CCUACAGCAGCUGAUUCAGAAGAGCCAGACUGUUGUAGCAGUCAGAAUUAUCUCCUCUCCUGAAACGGUCAUCCAUAAAAUGCCUUGCUGUUCUGUUUCCUAGUCCUGUCUGUUUGGGGUUGCCGGGAGUGUGAGCCUAGAAGUAUUGCCGCUGCUCGUCACCUGACCUGCCAAUCUCUCCCUACUGUGCUGUUGCGGAGCUGUCCACCGUACUGAUUCCGCCUGGGCGGCCAGUGGUUUUUUGUUUUUCCUUUUUGAACAAGAGAAGGUUUUUUGGUUCCAAUUUUUCCCUUUGGGACUCUUUUUGU